rnacentral:tRNA from 1 species
GUAGCGCAAUGGAUAGCGCGUUGGACUUCUAAUCUAAAGGUCGAGGGUUCAAAUCCCAUCUGCG